CCUGGGUUGGUGUAGUGGUAACAUUUCCAUUGGCAACGGGUAGGAGGCUAUAAAGCUGAACUUACUUGCCCUUCGGGGGGUGGAAGACUCAGGUUCAAAUCCUGAACUCGGGG